rnacentral:rRNA from 1 species
UCCUACGGGGGGCAGCAGUGAGGAAUAUUGGUCAAUGGGCGAGAGCCUGAACCAGCCAAGUCGCGUGAGGGAAGACGGUCCUAUGGAUUGUAAACCUCUUUUGUCAGGGAGCAACGCUGGCUACGUGUAGCCGGACUGAGAGUACCUGAAGAAAAAGCAUCGGCUAACUCCGUGCCAGCAGCCGCGGUAAUACGGAGGAUGCGAGCGUUAUCCGGAUUUAUUGGGUUUAAAGGGUGCGUAGGCGGAAUGCCAAGUCAGCGGUAAAAUCGCGGGGCUCAACCUCGCUCCGCCGUUGAAACUGGCGU